AGUGUUCUGGGGUGUUGGUCACCUUAUAAAUUCAACCACUGUUUAAUCGUAGGGAGAACGUGUUCUACUGCGUAUGACGCGCUACAAUUUUGGUAGAAGUCAGAAACAGAAGAUAGUCCACCCACCUAGUUGGGGUGUGGUGUGAGAUUUAUCGGGUGACGGCAUUCUGGGCAGUAU
rnacentral:other from 1 species